rnacentral:rRNA from 1 species
UACGAAGGGUGCAAGCGUUACUCGGAAUUACUGGGCGUAAAGGGUGCGUAGGCGGUUUGUUAAGUUCGAUGUGAAAGCCCUGGGCUCAACCUGGGAAUGGCAUCGAAGACUGGCAGACUGGAGUGCGGUAGAGGAUGGUGGAAUUCCCGGUGUAGCGGUGAAAUGCGUAGAGAUCGGGAGGAACACCAGUGGCGAAGGCGGCCAUCUGGACCAGCACUGACGCUGAGGCACGAAAGCGUGGGGAGCAAACA